AUGGUUCAGGAACACGAUGAACCUAUUCUGAAGCACUUGAAAGAUAUUAAAGUCAAAUUCUCAGAUGCUGGCCAGCCUGUGAAUUUUGUCCUAGAAUUUCACUUUGAACCCAGUGACAAAUGAAGUGUUGACAAAGACAUAUAGGAUGAGGUCAGAACCAGAUGAUUCUGAUCCCUUUUCUUUUGAUGGACUAGAAAUUAUGGGUUGUACAGGGUGCCAGAUAGAUUGGAAAAAAGGAAAGAAUGUCACUUUGAAAACCAUUAAGAAGCAGAAACAUAAGGGAUGUGGGACAGUUCGUACCAUGACUAAAACAGUUUUCAAUGACUCCUUCUUUAACUUUUUUGCACCUCUUGAAGUUCCUGAAAGUGGAGAUCUGGACGAUGAUGCUGAAGCUAUUCUUGCUGCAGACUUUGAAAUUGGUCACUUUUUACGUGAGCAUAUAAUCCUAAGAUCAGUGUUAUACUUUACUGGAGAAGCUAUUGAAGAUGAUGAUGAUGAUUAUGAUGAAGAAGGUGAAGAAGCAGAUGAGGAAGGGGAGGAAGAAGGAGAUGAGGAAAAUGAUCCAGACUAUGACCUGAAGAAGGAUCAAAAUCCAGCAGAAUGCAAGCAGCAGUGAAGCAGGAUGUAUGUGGCCUUGAGGAUAAUCUGC